rnacentral:rRNA from 1 species
UCAGGACGAACGCUGGCGGCAUGCUUCAUACGUGCAAGUCGAACGAUAAGGUCUCUUCGGAGAUACAUAAGUGGCGGACGGGUGAGUAAUAUGUAGGAAAUCUGCCCUUGAGAGGGGGACAACAGAGGGAAACUUCUGCUAAUACCCCAUAUGAGCGUACCUGAAAUGGUAUUCUUGAAAAACUCCGGUGCUCAAGGAUGAGCCUGCAUCUGAUUAGCUAGUUGGCGGUGUAAUGGACCACCAAGGCGACGAUCAGUAGCUGGUUUGAGAGGAUGAUCAGCCACAAUGGGACUGAGACACGGCCCAUACUCCUACGGGAGGCAGCAGUAGGGAAUUUUGCGCAAUGGGCGAAAGCCUGAACCGCAGCAAUGCCGCGUGAACGUAGAAGCCCUUCGGGGUGUAAAGUUCUGUCAGUGGGGACGAAUAAUGACGGUACCCACAGAGGAAGCACCGGCUAACUCCGUGCCAGCCGCUGC